GUCGGGAUAGCUCAGUUGGUAGAGCAGAGGACAA
rnacentral:tRNA from 1 species